AUUUGAAAAUAUAAAAUGACAUAUUUACAUAUAUACAUAUAUUUAUAUAAAUAACCCUAAAUUCUGGCAGUUAAAUACUUUUCCAUUUCAUAGGUCGUUUUAGGUGGAUAAAUCUGUGUGUGUUUUAGGGGUCUUGACCGUGCCUUGAGUGUAGAGGACGUGGGGCGGCCCAGUGGGGUGCGCCCGGUGGGACGCGUGGCUCAGGCCUUCCCUGACGGCACCAUCUUACUGGAGCUCUCCAGACCCCCCAACGGCCCCUUCGGCUUUGUCAUUGCACGAGGAAAAGGCAGGCCAGACUCAGGGGUGUACGUUGAAGAAAUGGGCGACAGCAAUAUGGAGAAACUCUACGCGGGGCUGCUCGGGGUCGGGGACGAGAUCUUAGAGGUGAACGGCGAGAAGGUGGCGGGACAUAGUCUGGACCUGGUGACCCGUUUAAUGACUCAAAACAGUACGGCUUCAAUCCGCGUACUACGACAUAGACGCCAACAGCGCUAACUGAAGACCAGACUGAGCCAGAAUGACUCCGAUGGCGUUUUGUUUCAAUCGAACACUGUGUUAAAGAGCGUCAGAAAUGAAGUCAGGGAUGAGUUUGUGUAAACGGCAGACCUUUGGUGUUUUUUCUUUUUUGGGCUGUUGAGCAAUGAUGGUGUGACGGUCCAUUUUAUAGGGAUGGUUACCCAAAAAUGAAGUGUUUUUUCAUGUAUUUUGUUCAUUUUUGGGGCGAACUCAUCCCUAAAGCGUCUGUUAUGGCUAAUUUACAG